rnacentral:rRNA from 1 species
GUGGGGAAUUUUGCACAAUGGGGGAAACCCUGAUGCAGCGACGCCGCGUGAUUUAGAAGGCCUUCGGGUUGUAAAAAUCUUUUGUAUAGGAAGAAAAUGACAGUACUAUACGAAUAAGGUCCGGCUAAUUACGUGCCAGCAGCCGCGGUAAUACGUAAGGACCGAGCGUUGUCCGGAAUCAUUGGGCGUAAAGGGUACGUAGGCGGGUCAUUAAGUUAGAAGUCAAAGGCUAUAGCUCAACUAUAGUAAGCUUCUAAAACUGGAGACCUUGAGUAAUGGAAGGGAAAGUGGAAUUCCUAGUGUAGCGGUGGAAUGCGCAGAUAUUAGGAGGAAUACCGGUGGCGAAGGCGACUUUCUGGCCAUUAACUGACGCUGAGGUACGAAAGCGUGGGUAGCAAACAGGAUUAGAAACCCUAGUAGUCC